rnacentral:lncRNA from 1 species
GGCACCCGCAUGGGAUGCGGCCGGGUCGACCCGCGCCCCAACCCUGACCCGGAUCCACGCCCAUUUGAUCCGUCACCCCAAAUUAUUACUUUUGCUUAUAGUAAAUGCUACUUUUAAUAAGCAUAACAUAUACAUUUAUUCGCACAAAUAUAUACUUUUGUAAAUAUAAGUAUUUAUCUUCAUUUAAUAUAAAGUAUUAUAUUUUUACACCCUAAAUCCUAUAAAUUAAACCCUAAACCCUGUAAACUAAACCCUAAAACCUAAACACUAAACCCUAAUAUGAGUAUUUACUUUUAAUAAGCAUAAGAUAUACACAUUUUGUUACACAAAUGUAUACUUAUGGUAAUAUAAAUAUUUAC